GUGUAGCUCAGUGGUAGAGUGUGUGCCUAGCAUGCACAAGACCCUGGGUUCGAUUCCCAGCAC
rnacentral:tRNA from 1 species